AACAAGCUUAACACAGUCAUUUCGAAAAUUCUUCUGUCAAACAUACCAAGUAAAAUGGCAGGCUAAAAGAGACUCGUGAAUGCAAUAUGUAUUACGCGCAUGAAGAUAAUAUAGAGCCUCAGGGAGGUGGUGGCUGACUGAGUUUAUUUCAAAAGACAACAAUAGAAUGCAUCGGUAGAGCGUAUUGUAUGCAGGAGGGCGUGGUAUGGUUUACAAUACCUGCUGCAUUAUGUAUCUCAUGCCCGUGGUUAUCUCUAUGGCCCAAAUCAUUUUUUAAAAUUAUUUACUCACUAUUCUAUCGAAUAUUGAUACUAUUGACGAAGUCACUUGAAUUAUUCCUUGAUAAGUUUCGAAUAAUAAAUUUUAUAUGGA
rnacentral:misc_RNA from 1 species